GAUGAACGCUGGCGGCGUGCCUAAUACAUGCAAGUCGAACGAAACUUCUUUAUCACCGAGUGCUUGCACUCACCGAUAAAGAGUUGAGUGGCGAACGGGUGAGUAACACGUGGGCAACCUGCCCAAAAGAGGGGGAUAACACUUGGAAACAGGUGCUAAUACCGCAUAACCAUAGUUACCGCAUGGUAACUAUGUAAAAGGUGGCUAUACUACCGCUUUUGGAUGGGCCCGCGGCGCAUUAGCUAGUUGGUAGGGUAAAGGCUUACCAAGGCAAUGAUGCGUAGCCGAAUUGAGAGGUUGAUCGGCCACAUUGGGACUGAGACACGGCCCAAACUCCUACGGGAGGCAGCAGUAGGGAAUCUUCCACAAUGGGCGAAAGCCUGAUGGAGCAACGCCGCGUGGGUGAAGAAGGUCUUCGGAUCGUAAAACCCUGCUGUUAGAGAAGAAAGUGCGUGAGAGUAACUGUUCACGUUUCGACGGUAUCUAACCAGAAAGCCACGGCUAACUACGUG
rnacentral:rRNA from 1 species